GAUGAACGCUGGCGGCGUGCCUAAUACAUGCAAGUAGAACGCUGAAGGAGGAGCUUGCUCUUCUGGAUGAGUUGCGAACGGGUGAGUAACGCGUAGGUAACCUGCCUGUUAGCGGGGGAUAACUAUUGGAAACGAUAGCUAAUACCGCAUGACAACAGUUAUUGCAUGAUAACUGUUUAAAAGGGGCAACUGCUCCACUACCAGAUGGACCUGCGUUGUAUUAGCUAGUUGGUGAGGUAACGGCUCACCAAGGCGACGAUACAUAGCCGACCUGAGAGGGUGAUCGGCCAAACUGGGACUGGGGCACGGCCCAGAAUCCUACGGGGGGGAGCAGUAGGGAAUCCUUGGGAAUGGACGGAAGGCUGACCGAGCAACGCCGGGUGAGUGAAGGAGGUUUUCGGGUCGUAAAGCUCUGGUGUAAGAGAAGAACGAGUGUGAGAGUGGAAAGUUCACACUGUGACGGUAUCUUACCAGAAAGGGACGGCUAACUACGUG
rnacentral:rRNA from 1 species